rnacentral:rRNA from 1 species
CAGUAGCCGCGGUAAUACAGAGGGUGCAAGCGUUAAUCGGAAUUACUGGGCGUAAAGCGCGCGUAGGUGGUUUGUUAAGUUGGAUGUGAAAGCCCCGGGCUCAACCUGGGAACUGCAUCCAAAACUGGCAAGCUAGAGUACGGUAGAGGGUGGUGGAAUUUCCUGUGUAGCGGUGAAAUGCGUAGAUAUAGGAAGGAACACCAGUGGCGAAGGCGACCACCUGGACUGAUACUGACACUGAGGUGCGAAAGCGUGGGGAGCAAACAGGAUUAGAGACCCCGGUAGUCCCUGUCUCUUAUCC